CCUACGGGAGGCAGCAGUGAGGAAUAUUGGUCAAUGGACGAGAGUCUGAACCAGCCAAGUAGCGUGAAGGAUGACUGCCCUAUGGGUUGUAAACUUCUUUUAUAAAGGAAUAAAACGAGGCACGUGUGCCUUUUUGCAUGUACUUUAUGAAUAAGCAUCGGCUAACUCCGUGCCAGCAGCCGCGGUAAUACGGAGGAUCCGAGCGUUAUCCGGAUUUAUUGGGUUUAAAGGGAGCGUAGAUGGGUUGUUAAGUCAGUUGUGAAAGUGUGCGGCUCAACCGUAAAAUUGCAAUUGAUACUGGCAGUCUUGAGUACAGUAGAGGUAGGCGGAAUGCGUGGUGUAGCGGUGAAAUGCAUAGAUAUCACGAAGAACCCCGAUUGCGAAGGCAGCAUACUAAACUGUGACUGACAUUGAGGCACGAAAGUGUGGGUAUCAAACAGGAUUAGAUACCCCUGUAGUC
rnacentral:rRNA from 1 species